rnacentral:rRNA from 1 species
UACAGGAGGGGCAAGCGUUAUUCGGAAUUAUUGGGCGUAAAGGGCGCGUAGGCGGCUUGGCAAGUGACGGGUGAAAUCCCUCGGCUUAACCGAGGAACUGCCUGUCAGACUGCUUUGCUUGAGUCCGGGAGAGGUGAGUGGAAUUCCCAGUGUAGCGGUGAAAUGCGCAGAUAUCAGGAGGAACACCGGUGGCGAAGGCGGGUCUCUGGGCCGAUACUGACGCUGAGGAGCGAAAGCGUGGGGAGCGAACAGG